GACGAACCGUGCGAACGUUGUUCGGAAUCACUGGGCAUAAAGGGCGCGUAGGCGGCUUAUCAAGUCAGGGGUGAAAUCCGGCAGCUCAACUGUCGAAGUGCCUUUGAUACUGACGAGCUCGAGGGAGAUAGGGGUGUGUGGAACUUCCGGUGGAGCGGUGAAAUGCGUUGAUAUCGGAAGGAACGCCGGUGGCGAAAGCGACACACUGGAUCUCUUCUGACGCUGAGGCGCGAAAGCCAGGGGAGCAAACGGG
rnacentral:rRNA from 1 species